rnacentral:rRNA from 1 species
AGUGAACGCUGGCGGUAGGCCUAACACAUGCAAGUCGAACGGCAGCACAGGAGAGCUUGCUCUCUGGGUGGCGAGUGGCGGACGGGUGAGGAAUACAUCGGAAUCUACUCUGUCGUGGGGGAUAACGUAGGGAAACUUACGCUAAUACCGCAUACGACCUACGGGUGAAAGCAGGGGAUCUUCGGACCUUGCGCGAUUGAAUGAGCCGAUGUCGGAUUAGCUAGUUGGCGGGGUAAAGGCCCACCAAGGCGACGAUCCGUAGCUGGUCUGAGGGGAUGAUCAGCCACACGGGAAAUGAGACACGGUCCAGACUCCUACGGGAGGCAGCAGUGGGGAAUAUUGGACAAUGGGCGCAAGCCUGAUCCAGCCAUACCGCGUGGGUGAAGAAGGCCUUCGGGUUGUAAAGCCCUUUUGUUGGGAAAGAAAUCCAGCUGGCUAAUACCCGGUUGGGAUGACGGUACCCAAAGAAUAAGCACCGGCUAACUUCGUGCCAGCCGCCGCCGUAA